rnacentral:rRNA from 1 species
ACGGGUGAGUAACACGUGACUAACCUACCCUUGAGUGGGGGAUAACCUAGAGAAAUCUGGGCUAAUACCGCAUAAUACCUUCGGGUCAAAGGAGCAAUUCGCUUAAGGAGGGGGUCGCGGCCGAUUAGUUAGUUGGCGGGGUAAUGGCCCACCAAGACUGUGAUCGGUAUCCGGCCUGAGAGGGCGCACGGACACACUGGAACUGAAACACGGUCCAGACUCCUACGGGAGGCAGCAGUGGGGAAUUUUGCGCAAUGGGGGAAACCCUGACGCAGCAACGCCGCGUGGAGGAUGAAGUCCCUUGGGACGUAAACUCCUUUCGAUCGGGACGAUAAUGACGGUACCGAGAGAAGAAGCCCCGGCUAACUUCGUGCCAGCAGCCGCGG